UACAGAGGGGGCGAGCGUUGUUCGGAAUUACUGGGCGUAAAGGGCGCGUAGGCGGCCCGCUAAGUCGAACGUGAAAUCCCCAGGCUCAACCUGGGAACUGCGUCCGAUACUGGCAGGCUUGAAUCCGGGAGAGGGAUGUGGGAUUCCAGGUGUAGCGGUGAAAUGCGUAGAUAUCUGGAGGAACACCGGUGGCGAAGGCGGCAUCCUGGACCGGUAUUGACGCUGAGGCGGCGAAAGCUAGGGGAGCAAACGGG
rnacentral:rRNA from 1 species